rnacentral:rRNA from 1 species
UGGAAGUAAAAAGUCGUAACAAGGUCUCCGUUGGUGAACCAGCGGAGGGAUCAUUAAUGAGUUAAAAAACUCCUAAACCCACUGUGAACAUACCAUUUUGUUGCCUCGGCAGGUUGUGUUUGCCCUGUAGCUGCUACCCUGGACCUACCCUGGACCUACCCUGUAGCUACCUGGUAACACGUUUAACGGCCUGCCGGUGGUCUUCUAAACUCUUGCUAUAUAUUGCGAAUUUCUGAACAAGUAAAACUUAAUAAGUUAAAACUUUCAACAACGGAUCUCUUGGUUCUGGCAUCGAUGAAGAACGCAGCGAAAUGCGAUAAGUAAUGUGAAUUGCAGAAUUCAGUGAAUCAUCGAAUCUUUGAACGCACAUUGCGCCUACUAGUAUUCUAGUGGGCAUGCCUGUUCGAGCGUCAUUUCGACCCUUAAGCCUCUGUUGCUUAGUGUUGGGAGCCUACGGUUAUAGCGUAGCUCCUUAAAGUUAGUUGGCGGAGUUAGGGUACACUCUCAGCGUAGUAAACAUUUUUCUCGCUGUUGUAGUUGCCUUAGCUGUUGCCAUUAAACCUGUCUAUUAUUUAGUAAGGUGACCUCGGAUCAGGUAGGAAUACCCGCUGAACUUAAGCAUAUCAAUAGGCCGGAGGAAA